rnacentral:rRNA from 1 species
AGGACGAACGCUGGCGGCGUGCUUAACACAUGCAAGUCGAGCGGAAAGGCCCUUCGGGGUACUCGAGCGGCGAACGGGUGAGUAACACGUGAGCAACCUGCCCUUAGCUUCGGGAUAGCUCCGGGAAACCGGAAUUAAUACCGGAUAUGACUAUGGCCGACAUCAGCCAUGGUGGAAAGUUUUUCGGCUAGGGAUGGACUCGCGGCCUAUCAGCUAGUUGGUGAGGUAACGGCUCACCAAGGCGACGACGGGUAGCCGGCCUGAGAGGGCGACCGGCCACACUGGGACUGAGACACGGCCCAGACUCCUACGGGAGGCAGCAGUGGGGAAUAUUGCGCAAUGGGCGAAAGCCUGACGCAGCGACGCCGCGUGGGGGAUGAAUGCCUUCGGGUUCGUAAACCCCUUUCAGCAGGGACGAAGCGAAGUGACGGUACCUGCAGAAGAAGCGCCGGCUAACUACGUGCCAGCAGCCGC